AGCGCGUGGUCAAAGGAACCGGGUGGAAGAUGGUGGAAGGGAAAUUAUAUGUUAAUGUUUGUUGCAGUUUUACACAUAUUCCGUGAGUAUUUUUCGCUUGUUCACGAGUGUUUUAUCAGGGUUGGAGCUAAACUCGGAAGGAAAAUGGAAACUGCUGGCCACAGUUGAGAACUUUCCGCCGGUCUGUAUUAUAAAUGCACGAUUGCAGUGCAGCAUUCAUAUCCGCAACAAGUCUAGAUAUGCAUGUUUUCUGUGAUGCACGCAAUUAAUUAAUGUGAUGGUAGCUGUUAAGACACUUACAUUUAACAUUCAAAUGUUUUAAAAACCAAACGUGUUCAGGUUUUUAUGUGUAUUUGGUUUGUGAAGUGUAAUUUAUGCUUUUUUCCUCUCCCCCACAGAUAACCAUGGUUAAUAAAUGGUCAGACACGUCACUGGCUUUAAGAUAUAAACCCCAUUGAUGCAAAAAGAUGCUGCAUGGAAUGACAAUGUGGUUUGGAACAGACUUGGUGAAGAACAUGGAAACAUUUCUAAAUAAAAUGGCCCCAAACAUCAUCAGGAGUGCAAAAGAAGGAAGUAAAAAACAUCUCUAUGCCAAUCUCAUUGGAGAGGAAACCACAGAAGGUCUGGUGAGGAAUGCUGCACUUAUGUUAUUGCAAGCAUUAUUUCAAGAAAAUCCCAGCUUCCUUGACUGUGUAAAUAGUGAACCCAAAGGUCCCACACCAACCAUAGUGUUCAACGGCUCUCCUGAUCUUCUCAAAUCUGAAAGUAUCAACUUUAUAAUGGACAAUGUGAACAUAAUAUGUGGAAGACAUUGACAUCACAGGCUGUGGAAUGACUGUUUGCGUUUUUUUUUUCUCCUCAAUGUUCAAUACCCUUUUGCCAUUAAGCACACAGUGACUUUAAUUUAUAAAAUAUAUGCUUAAAUUUGAAUACCUGUACAAAACAAAUGUACAACCAACUUGUGUAAAUUGUCAUUCUAUUUAAUAGAUUGUUCAUGAAUUGUCUUUAAAUGCAUUGUGAUUUCGGUAACACUUUACAAUAAGGUUCAUUAGUUAACAUUAGUUAAUGUAUUAACUAACUUGAACAAACCAUAAGCAAUACAUUUGUUACAGUAUUUAUUCAUCUUUGUUAAUGUUAGUUAAUAAAAAUGUAAGCUUUAAUUGCUUGUUCAUGUUAGUUCAGUACCGACUGCAUUAACUAAUGUUAACAAGAUUUUAAUAAAGUAUAAGUAAUUGUUGAAAUUAACAUUAACAAAGAUUAAUAAAUGCUGUAUAAGUGCAGUUCAUUAUUAGUUCAUGUUAACUAAUGUAGCUAACUAAUGUUAACUAAUGAACCUUAUUGUAAAGUGUUACCGUAAUUUCUUUUCAUCAUUUCAGACACAUGUAAAAAUUAGUACUGCAUAUACUGUACAGUAUCUAUGCGU